GACGAACGCUGGCGGCGUGCUUAACACAUGCAAGUCGAGGGCAUCAGGAGGAGCAAUCUUUCUGGUGACCGGCGAACGGGUGCGUAACACGUGAGCGACCUACCCUGGUGUGGGGGAUAGCCGGCCCAACGGCCGGGUAAGACCGCAUACGCUUGUUGGAGUACCUGCUCUGGCAAGGAAAACCUGGGGCAACCCAGGUGCACCGGGAGGGGCUCGCGGCCUAUCAGCUUGUUGGC
rnacentral:rRNA from 1 species